AUAGAUAUGGCCGGCGAGGGUCACAGUGUAGUAUCAGUUCAUAUCAGCUUAAUAUCUGAUGCGGGUUGUAUUUGGACCUAAGAUAUCAACAUUAUUUUUCCAAGUUGGCGGAGUGCUUAAAGCCUGCCUCGUCUCCGCCGCGGGUCGGCCCGGUAUUGCGCUAUUUUCAGGACCGACCUUCGUAUG